rnacentral:rRNA from 1 species
AUGAACGCUGGCGGCGUGCCUAAUACAUGCAAGUCGAGCGAACAGAUGAGGAGCUUGCUCCUCUGACGUUAGCGGCGGACGGGUGAGUAACACGUGGAUAACCUACCUAUAAGACUGGGAUAACUUCGGGAAACCGGAGCUAAUACCGGAUAAUAUAUUGAACCGCAUGGUUCAAUAGUGAAAGACGGUUUUGCUGUCACUUAUAGAUGGAUCCGCGCCGCAUUAGCUAGUUGGUAAGGUAACGGCUUACCAAGGCAACGAUGCGUAGCCGACCUGAGAGGGUGAUCGGCCACACUGGAACUGAGACACGGUCCAGACUCCUACGGGAGGCAGCAGUAGGGAAGCUUCCGCAAUGGGCGAAAGCCUGACGGAGCAACGCCGCGUGAGUGAUGAAGGUCUUCGGAUCGUAAAACUCUGUUAUUAGGGAAGAACAAAUGUGUAAGUAACUAUGCACGUCUUGACGGUACCUAAUCAGAAAGCCACGGCUAACUACGU